AGCGAACGCUAGCGGCGGGCCUAACACAUGCAAGUCGAACGGCAGCACGGGCUUCGGCCUGGUGGCGAGUGGCGAACGGGUGAGUAAUGCAUCGGAACGUGCCCAUGUUGUGGGGGAUAACUACGCGAAAGCGUGGCUAAUACCGCAUACGCCUUGAGGGGGAAAGCGGGGGGAUUCUUCGGAACCUCGCGCAAUUGGAGCGGCCGAUGUCAGAUUAGCUUGUUGGUGAGGUAAAGGCUCACCAAGGCGACGAUCUGUAGCGGGUCUGGGAGGAUGAUCCGCCACACUGGGACUGAGACACGGCCCAGACUCCUACGGGAGGCAGCAGUGGGAAUUUUGGACAAUGGGCGAAAGGCCUGAUCCAGCCAUGCCGCGUGUCUGAAGAAGGCCUCGGUUGUAAGGACUUUGUCUAGGAGC
rnacentral:rRNA from 1 species